GGAAAAUUCUCUCACGGGAAUAACACGAGAACAGACAUUUCCAAGGCGUGUACAUUUAAGAUAAGACAAUGAAUAAUUUAGACAACAAAAAAAUCUGGUCGAUUACGAGACAUUUAAGUAAGGCUGGAGGAGGUGUUGAAUAACGAACUUCACAGAUGACACUGUAAUGUUAACGUGUGAAAGAAAAGCGGACAAUCGAACUGGUGACUUUGUGAACUGAAAAGAGAGAUGAUAUCGACCCAUUAGUUAUGCGACAGGACCAUAGAUCUAAUGCUCUCAUAGUUACAGAUAACGAUUUCCUGAGAAUGUGCGGAAGGUGUAAAAGAUAUGGAGAGACCCGACAAGGACAAUUUAAGGAAAUGGAAGAAAGUGAAAUAUCGCUGAGAACAUGACACAAUUUAAUUUUACAGACAAUCAAGGAUGAAGAUACAUCUGUCUAAUAUUUAUGAUGGCACUGAUCAAACUCCCCAAUAUUGAAGAUUAUUGGAAAAAGGAUGAGGUGCUAAACCAGCUUGAUUUUAGGAAAAACGUGGAAACAGAUAUAUAUCUAUUUCUUCUCACGAUCCUACAAAUUAGGAAAAAUACUGGAGCACAUGACUCUGCUCAGUGUUUAAUGUCUUUUAUUUCACUGAAAACUAUUUUGCGAAAGGAUUUCGUUC